UUCUUUGGACAGAGCUCCAGGUUUGUCAAUCUUGUUCCCAAGAACCAUAAGAGGGAUACCGUUAAGCGAAGUCUUGCUCAACAAAUCAUGGAGUUCACUUCUCGAGACACUUAAGUUGUCAGGAUCUGAUUGUGAAUAAGCCGAGCAAUAAAGAUAACAAAGAAACCUGAGUCUAAGAUCUUUACACAAUCACAGAAACAGCGCGACAGUAACGUACCCACAUGAAGCGGAAUCUUGGUUGACCACCAAGAUCCCAUAGCCUGAUUGCAACAUUUUCUUUUGUCACUUUCCUCAUGUUAAACCCGACCUGAUAAAACUACAAAGACGAAAUCUCUUCAUGUGUUCGUAAAAAACAGGUUUUGGAUCGAAAGCCGUAUUUUGUAAAAGAUGCAGUGUAACACUUACCGUAGGAAUCAUGUCUUCACUGUAUUCAUCAGUCUAAACAAGUAAAUAUCAGAUUCUCCAACCACCAACAACUAACAUGUUAAGAAAAUAUAAAAGGAAAAUCAUUACUAUACUUACUGCAACAACAUUUACAAGUGAUGUCUUUCCUGCAUUUUGAAGUCCUAUCAAAGAAAUCUCCAUUUCUUUGCUUGAAGAAGAGGCUGCAAAAUCAUAUCGAUUGAAACAAACAAAUGAAUAAGUCUCCUCAAAGAGAAGAAGAGGGAGAGCACUAAGUUUUGUUUUUACAGACGAUAUAAAUCAAAUUAUAUUUAGAUUGUUGAAGCCUGAGGGUAAUGGAGGCAACUUAGAGCUAACAUAUAAUCAAGUCCAUGGGAAACAAGUUGUCAAGAGGACUGAAACAUCUAAAAGAUGUUUCCAAAUGGGUUCCUCUACUAUCUCAACGCUGGACAUUGGCCUAAGGCUUCCAUUUCCCUCUUUAACACUGCCCUUGCUGGUUGAUUUGAUUCAUGUACAUUUCCUUAUUGAGUAUAUUUCUCUUCUUACUGAACGCUGUUUAGAAAAAUUGAGACACUUAUGUUUAUGUGUUUCCAAAAUUGCAAAGCCUUGGGAAUAGAAAAACAAUCCACAGCUAAUAUACAAAGACAAUACUGGUCCAAACCAGACCAGAACAGCAGGAGAAGGAGAGACAGAAGACGACAAAUAAAGACAAACUCUUGAUUCACACGAAAAAAUUGUCUUCAACAAUCACCAUCAUCAUCAACCAGACAAUACAGGAAGACUAAGAAGAUCAAGAAGAGAGAAUAAUAUCUUCUUGGUGAAGUUUAGUUCUUUGAUUUUGAAUGCUUUACGAGCCAAUCAAUGACUUGAUCAAUGUUGGUAGAGUUUUUGCAGGAUAUCAUGAAACAGCAGACUUCUCUAUCUGUAAGAGACGUAAGCCCCCUGCAACAAUAACGACGUAGAAAACAUUAUCAGAUCAAGCUAAAAUUGUGCUUUUUUGGAAUGUUCAGAUGAAGAAAAAGCUAUACAUUUCGCCUGUUAAGGCUUCUUUGGACAGAGCUCCAGGUUUGUCAAUCUUGUUCCCAAGAACCAGAAGAGGGAUACCAUUAAGCGAAGUCUUGCUCAACAGAUCAUGGAGUUCACUUUUCGAGACACUGAGGUUGUCAGGAUCUGCAGCAUCAACUACAUACCUGGAAAUGGAAUCAACAUGAAACCGAAUUGUCGGAGAUACAUAGUGAAGAGAAACCUGAGACUAACUAAGAUCCUUACAC
rnacentral:lncRNA from 1 species